rnacentral:rRNA from 1 species
CGAACGGGUGGAGUAACGCGUGAAUAACCUGACUCAAAGAAGGGGGGAGUAACAACGGGAAACUGUUGCUAAUACCGCAUGAGACCACAACACCGCAUGAUGAAGGGGUCAAAGAUUUAUCGCUUUGAGAGGGGUUCGCGUCCCAUUAGGUAGUUGGAGGGGUAACGGCCCACCAAGCCAACGAUGGGUAGCCGAGCUGAGAGGCUGAUCGGCCACACUGGAACUGAGACACGGUCCAG